UACGUAGGGUGCAAGCGUUGUCCGGAAUUAUUGGGCGUAAAGAGCUCGUAGGCGGUCUGUCGCGUCUGCUGUGAAAACUCAGGGCUUAACCCUGAGCUUGCAGUGGGUACGGGCAGACUAGAGUGUGGUAGGGGAGACUGGAAUUCCUGGUGUAGCGGUGAAAUGCGCAGAUAUCAGGAGGAACACCGGUGGCGAAGGCGGGUCUCUGGGCCGUAACUGACGCUGGAGGAGCGGAAAGCAUGGGGAGCGAACAGG
rnacentral:rRNA from 1 species